rnacentral:rRNA from 1 species
AAUCGAUAAGAUGCCUCGUAUUCGCCCAACGCUUUAUAAUAAUAUCGCGGAAACUCAAAAGACACUGUCCUGUGCGAUUUUCCCUGCGCCCCCGGCGGCUUUCAAGCCCAGGGCGCGCGGGUAGAACACAGCACCAAAGUUUGCUGGUGGUUAUAGCGAAGAGGACCCACCCGAUCCCAUCUCGAACUCGGUCGUUAAGCUCUUCAGCGCUGAUGGUACUGCAGUGGUGACGCUGUGGGAGAGUAGGUCGCUGCCAGCA